GAUGAACGCUGACAGCAUGCUUAACACAUGCAAGUCAACUGUGGCGGACGGGUGAGCAACGCGUAAAGAACUUGCCUCACAGAUAGGGACAACAUUUGGAAACGAAUGCUAAUACCUGAUACUGUGAGAGAGCUUUGCGUCCCAUUAGCUAGUUGGGGAGGUAACGGCUCACCAAGGCGAUGAUGGGUAGCCGGCCUGAGAGGGUGAUCGGCCACAAGGGGACUGAGACACGGCACGUGCUCCUACGGGAGGCAGGAGUGGGGAAUAUUGGACAAUAGACCAAAGUCUGAUCCAGCAAUUCUGUGUGCACGAUGAAGUUGUCGGGAUGUAGAGUGCUAUCGGUUGGGAAGCGGUACCAGCAGAAGAAGUGACGGCUAAAUACGUGCCAGCAGCCGCGGUAAUUC
rnacentral:rRNA from 1 species